rnacentral:rRNA from 1 species
UACGUAGGGCGCAAGCGUUAUCCGGAAUUAUUGGGCGUAAAGAGCUCGUAGGCGGUUUGUCGCGUCUGCCGUGAAAGUCCGGGGGCUCAACUCCGGAUCUGCGGUGGGUACGGGCAGACUAGAGUGAUGUAGGGGAGACUGGAAUUCCUGGUGUAGCGGUGAAAUGCGCAGAUAUCAGGAGGAACACCGAUGGCGAAGGCAGGUCUCUGGGCCGAUACUGACGCUGGAGGAGCGAAAGCGUGGGGAGCGAACAGG